rnacentral:lncRNA from 1 species
UAACUUUAUUUCUUAAAACAACUUCAUCAUCAAGCAAUUUAUCAUACUUCAGUUUCAAUUCAUUGUGCUCCUUUUUUAGCUUUUUAUGAGCAACAUCAAGUUUUUCAGAUUCAUUCAUCAAAUCAAAGAAAGCCUUUUGUAAAUCUAAUUCACAAGAUUCAAAGCUGGAAUCACUUACUUGACUUCCUGUAUCCUCUGAAUCCGCCAUAAGACAAAUGUUGGCUUCUUCAUCUGAGUCACUUGAGCUUGUUGAGCUAGAAGCAUUGUCUUCCCAAGCUAUGUAAGCUUUCUUUUACUUUUGAAAUUUUCUUUCCUUCUUGUCUUCACUUUUCUUGUUCUUUGGACACUCUGAUUUCACGUGCCCUCUUUCUCCACAACCAAAGCAUUUUACACUUGGAGGAGAUUCUUGACUUUCUCUCCUUUCUUUACGAAUUUUUUCCUUUCCUUUUGCCUUCAUAAACUUUGCAAACUUCUUUAUCACGAGGCUCAUGUUCUCUUCAUCAUCAGAAUCAUCAUCUUCAAUCCUCUUAGAGGUCUUUCCUUUAGAGAUCUCGGACUUGAAGGCUAAUGUUUUUCUCUUGCCUUGAUCCUCUUCAGCAGUUAGUCUCCUC